rnacentral:piRNA from 1 species
UGAGCAAUCUUGCAAGCCCUUCCC